rnacentral:rRNA from 1 species
UACGGGGGGGGCAAGCGUUAUUCGGAAUUAUUGGGCGUAAAGGGCGCGUAGGCGGCACUGUUAGUCAGGCGUGAAAUUCCUGGGCUCAACCUGGGGGCUGCGUUUGAUACGUGCGGACUUGAGUGCGGAAGAGGGUCGUGGAAUUCCCAGUGUAGAGGUGAAAUUCGUAGAUAUUGGGAAGAACACCGGUGGCGAAGGCGGCGACCUGGUCCGAUACUGACGCUGAGGCGCGAAAGCGUGGGGAGCAAACAGG